rnacentral:rRNA from 1 species
UACGUAGGGGGCAAGCGUUGUCCGGAUUCAUUGGGCGUAAAGAGCGUGUAGGCGGCCAGGUAGGUCGGUUGUGAAAACUGGAGGCUCAACCUUCAGAGGUCGACCGAAACCAUCUGGCUAGAGUCCGGGAGAGGAGAGUGGAAUUCCUGGUGUAGCGGUGAAAUGCGUAGAUAUCUGAAGGAACACCAGUGGCGAAAGCGGCUUCCUGGUCCAGUACCGACGUUCAGGCACGAAAGCGUGGGGAGCAAACAGG